rnacentral:rRNA from 1 species
UGGGCGUAAAGAGCUCGUAGGCGGUUUGUCGCGUCUGCCGUGAAAGUCCGGGCCUCAACUCCGGAUCUGCGGUGGGUACGGGCAGACUAGAGUGAUCGUAGGGGAGACUGGAAUUCCUGGUGUAGCGGUGAAAUGCGCAGAUAUCAGGAGGAACACCGAUGGCGAAGGCAGGUCUCUGGGCAUUAACUGACGCUGAGGAGCGAAAGCAUGGGGAGCGAACAGGAUUAGAUACCCUGGUAGUCCAUGCCGUAAACGUUGGGCACUAGGUGUGGGGGACAUUCCACGUUUUCCGCGCCGUAGCUAACGCAUUAAGUGCCCCGCCUGGGGAGUACGGCCGCAAGGCUAAAACUCAAAGGAAUUGACGGGGGCCCGCACAAGCGGCGGAGCAUGCGGAUUAAUUCGAUGCAACGCGAAGAACCUUACCAAGGCUUGACAUGGACCGGACCGCCGCAGAAAUGUGGUUUCCCCUUUGGGGCUGGUUUACAGGUGGUGCAUGGUUGUCGUCAGCUCGUGUCGUGAGAUGUUGGGUUAAGUCCCGCAACGAGCGCAACCCUCGUUCUAUGUUGCCAGCACGUGAUGGUGGGGACUCAUAGGAGACUGCCGGGGUCAACUCGGAGGAAGGUGGGGACGACGUCAAAUCAUCAUGCCCCUUAUGUCUUGGGCUUCACGCAUGCUACAAUGGCCGGUACAAAGGGUUGCGAUACUGUGAGGUGGAGCUAAUC